GGGAUCUCUCCUUUGAACUCAUUUUACUACAAAACAUGACUCCAUUUCCCUCUGGUGACCCGUUUCCUAUUCUAAUAGGAAUUCUAAGAAAAUAAAACUCAGGAUCUUGGCCACUUCUUGAAUCUUAGAAGCUUGUGGUAAGUUCUUUUUUACCCUCUUACCCAGACCACUGUCCUUCUGAAAGUAUCUGUGGAGAGUUUGGUGGGGUGGGACCGCUUCACUUUACCAUUCCUAUUCCUCCUUUCUUGCUCCUUCUGUUUCAUAGUAGAGUGAAGGCAAGAAUGAGAUAGAGCAAUCAAGGUCUGGGAUGAGGCUUGGGGUGGGGUGGCCAAGGAAAACCAAGAUGGAGGCUGUACUCUCUUUUUUUUCUGAUCCUAUAAUCUGUCGUUCUCCCCUUCCUUCCCCUCCCCUCCCUUCCCAACCAGAUUCAUUUUCCUCUGGUCAUGGAGCUGGGCAAGAUGAAGGUCUUGACCCCCACAUAUUACAGAUGGAGAACCAUUUCAAGUCCUGUGAAGAUUUCACCCAGAAGGAAUGCCUGCCAGUAGCUGCUCACUGUUAUUUACGAGACAUCAGAUUGAUGUUGAGAAAUUGCACGAGGAGGAUUAAGAAAAGGAAAGAGCUGAUCACUAAUUCUAGCCGGAUCAUUCAGCACAGAUUUUUUCCAGGCUCAUUGCCUGGUCUCAGCCUACAGUUCUCCAGGAUGUCCAGUCAAUGUCCCUACCUACUCAAAAUGUUCCUACAGGCACUAAACAUAAGAUGUCUAGUGGUGGUGAGUACUUAUCUGGAAGAAGAAUGGAGCCUAGAGGGGGAGGAGGAGUAUAUCCAUGUUAAUUGUUUCUAACAGACUAAUUACCUCCAGUUUUGUUCAAUUUAUCUUGGGUUCUUUUCUUUUUCUGAAUCUAGUUUCUCUGAAAAUAUUUAAAAUCCUUUCUCAGGGCCCUUUAAAAACAACGACAACAAACCUCAUUUCCUCCCAAGUCCACUCCAUUCCCAUCAAUGUUUACCUAAGGAUGAAGAGGAAGCAGAGCAAAAAGUGUCUGGAUGACAAACAAAGGUGUGUGGAGAAAACCUUGGACUCUCCUAAGUCAGAAGACAGGCCACCUGGUCUUCUAGACAUGCCAAUGAUUUUAUUUUGUCUGUUUGUUGUACCUAGACAUACAUUAUUUCAUCUCUCCAUCUCUUGUUCUCUUCUGAAAAAGUCAUUCUUUCCAUUGAUACUGUUGUAGCCACUGUGCAUAUUAUUUUCUUGGAUGUGCUCACUUUACUCAGCCAUCAGUUCAUGUCUUCCUAUGCUUCUCGAGUUCCUCACAUUUAUCUUGUUAUGGCACAAAAUAUUCAAUGACAUGCAUGUACCCAGAAUUUGUUUAACCAUUAUCCUAGUUGAUGGGUAUCAACUCUGCUUCCAGUUUUUUGUUACAACAUUAAAAAGUACUGCUACAAAUAUUUUGGUGCAAAAGUGACCAUUUUUUUUUUCUGCCUUUGACCUUAGCUAGACUAUUGUAGUAGUUUCCCAGUAGGUUUCCUGUAUCUUGUCUCUUCUUCCUCUUGCCUCCAAGAAUCUCUAACACAGCUGAUAAAUGAAACUUUUCCU
rnacentral:lncRNA from 1 species